CGCCUUGCCAGCCCGCUCAGAAACGUUAAAGGAAUUGACGGGGGCCCGCACAAGCGGUGGAGUAUGUGGUUAAUUCGAUGCAACGCGAAGAACCUUACCUGGUCUUGACAUCCCGGAGACCCUUAGGAAACUAGGGGGUGCUUCCAUCUGGAAGAAUCUGGAGACAGGUGCUGCAUGGCUGUCGUCAGCUCGUGUCGUGAGAUGUUGGGUUAAGUCCCGUAACGAGCGCAACCCUUGUCCUUAGUUACCAGCACGUUAUGGUGGGCACUCUAAGGAGACGUGCCGGUGACAAACCGGAGGAAGGUGGGGAUGACGUCAAGUCCUCAUGGCCUUUAUGACCAGGGCUACACACGUACUACAAUGGCCGAUACAAAGGGCAGCGACACUGCGAGGUGAAGCCAAUCCCGUAAAAUCGGUCUCAGUCCGGAUUGGAGUCUGCAACUCGACUCCAUGAAGUUGGAAUCGCUAGUAAUCGUGGAUCAGCAUGCCACGGUGAAUACGUUCCCGGGCCUU
rnacentral:rRNA from 1 species